GAAGUAGCUGUUAUUAUCCCCAUUUUAUAGAUGAGAAAACGGAGGCUCAGGGAAAGAAAGUAACUUUCUAAAGGAUAGCACAUUAUAUUUAGUCAUCAUGUCUCCUUAGGCUCCUUUUGGCUGUGACAGUUUCUCUGGCUUUCCUUGUUUUUGGUGGCCUUGACAGCUUUGACGACUGGUCAGGCACCACUGCAUACGUCAUCUCAUUUGACUCCAGUCUGUGAUCAUCCACAAGAAAUGCAGCCCAGGGCACAGAGGCAGCUGUCUGCUCACCUUAUCCAUGCUGGCCUGGUUUAGUCUCAUGAUGGAGGCGUGAGCCAGGCGGUCGUACACUGUCCUCAGGGCCUUUUUGGAGUAGAGCUCUUGGGGUUUGAACAAUUCCUCCAUAAACUUUCGAUUGAACAUGGUUGAGAUGAUGUCAUUCAGAACUGUAGAGACAAGAGAAGAUGCAGCUGAGCAAGCAUACUUGGUGUGGGGAGAGCACUUAAAAUAUCGAGGACAUUGGCUAUGACAUGCAUAAACUAUACCCAGAUGUCAAAUGAUGGAAGAUAUUCGUGACAGUUAAAGGGGACACCGGUUCGAGCCCUGGUCCGGGAAGAUCCCACAUGCCACAGAGCAACUAAGCCUGUGUGCCACAACUACUGAGCCCGUGUGCCACAACUACUGAGCCCACGCACCUAGAGCCCGUGCUCCGCAAGGAGAAGCCACCGCAAUGAGAAGCCCGCGCACUGCAAUGAAGAGUAGCCCCCGCUCGCCGCAACUAGAGAAAGCCCGCGUGCAGCAACGAAGCCCCA